UAGCCAAAAGGAGAAUAAGAAAACUGAGCGAAUCCUCAAAGAGAGUCGGGACCUGGCACGUUCAUCGAGAGGCUGCAGAGGAACGUCCAAGAAACGGUUGAAAAGGCAACAACUUUGAAUCAGACUUUGUAUGAAGAUUUCCAGCUGCCCAGCUUGAUGCUUGAGAAUAUGCAGCAGAACAUUUCAUCUUUGCUCAAAACCAUACAGAAAAGGCACUUCAUGCAGUUGCACCAAAAUGUCACCCUGGAACUCAAGGCUGCUCAAGACUUACUGUCAUAAAUUCAGAAAGCAUACCAGAAGCCACAGGAAGAGUUGGAAGUGUUGAAAGAAAUAGCAAGCCGGCUCCUGGCCGAGCACAGUGGACAGCUGCAGGCGGCCAGGACACUAGUGAAGGACGCAGAGGGAAAGAGCCAGGAAAGCGACCGUCUGCUGCUCGUGGCCAGCGCCAACCUGAGAGAGUU